rnacentral:rRNA from 1 species
UGAUGUGUAGGAUAGGUGGGAGGCUUUGAAGUGUGGACGCCAGUCUGCAUGGAGCCGACCUUGAAAUACCACCCUUUAAUGUUUGAUGUUCUAACGUGGACCCGUAAUCCGGGUUGCGGACAGUGUCUGGUGGGUAGUUUGACUGGGGCGGUCUCCUCCUAAAGAGUAACGGAGGAGCACGAAGGUUGGCUAAUCCUGGUCGGACAUCAGGAGGUUAGUGCAAUGGCAUAAGCCAGCUUGACUGCGAGCGUGACGGCGCGAGCAGGUGCGAAAGCAGGUCAUAGUGAUCCGGUGGUUCUGAAUGGAAGGGCCAUCGCUCAACGGAUAAAAGGUACUCCGGGGAUAACAGGCUGAUACCGCCCAAGAGUUCAUAUCGACGGCGGUGUUUGGCACCUCGAUGUCGGCUCAUCACAUCCUGGGGCUGAAGUAGGUCCCAAGGGUAUGGCUGUUCGCCAUUUAAAGUGGUACGCGAGCUGGGUUUAGAACGUCGUGAGACAGUUCGGUCCCUAUCUGCCGUGGGCGCUGGAGAACUGAGGGGGGCUGCUCCUAGUACGAGAGGACCGGAGUGGACGCAUCACUGGUGUUCGGGUUGUCAUGCCAAUGGCACUGCCCGGUAGCUAAAUGCGGAAGAGAUAAGUGCUGAAAGCAUCUAAGCACGAAACUUGCCCCGAG